rnacentral:lncRNA from 1 species
UAUAAGAUUGAUAAUUAACAGUCUCUGUACUAUAUAUAGGAUAGGUAAUUAAUUAUCCUUGAAAAUUUAGCAAACGAUUAACAAUUAUAUAUCUCUUGACACCAUUAAAAUCUGAUUUUUAUCCGAGGAUCGAGUUAUAUUGGAUGGACUAUAUAUAUAUUACGAUGAAAACAUUACAUAUAUAUAUGUUUUCAUCGUCGGGGGUUGGACGCAAAUUUCGUAGGAUCGUUUCUGUGAGUGCAGACUCCAUGUUUUAAAAGCUCAGAGAACGCACUUCUAGCUGGCCUUAUUUUUUCCUUGUCUUAUCAAAAUCUAGUUUUAACAUUGCAAUGAAUAAAUGCAAUUGCCGUCUUUAUAUCAUCCUUGCAGGUGUUUAGAAUAAAAUAAAAAAAGAAAAGAAAAACCUAACUUCACGUUUUUCUGUGGAGAUGGAGAGUUUUUUGACGCGUUGGCGCCUUAUUUAGUUUGUCUUUAAUAUAAUACGAUGAUAUGUUUUUAAUUAGUUAUUAAAAAAACGUGGCAUUCUAUGGGAUUUAGAAAUUUUGACUAAAAAUUUAUCUUGUGGAUAUUAAUACUGAGCCAUCCAUGAGUACCAAAAUAGGCAUGUAUGUGUGAUCGUGCAUAUUCGAGUUCCAGGUUCUAUAUUAUUUUUCCUGUUAAAUUAUUUUAACGACAGACUAAAAAUUUCUUGGCCACGUAUUGAUAUCUUCGUUUUAUAUAUUCUUCGAAGGAAUGAUUCCAAGAUUUCGGUUAUAACAUUUUUUUAUUGAAAAUACGGAUUUAUUAAGUUUUUGAAUCGUUGUUAUCGAAGUAUAGUAAUUAAAAUUACACUGGAAUAGCUGUCUUUACUAACAACUUUUACUAAUAAUAAAAUUUUCUUAUUUCCGAUCGGUUUCGCUUCAUAACAGAUUGUGGUUAUCGUGCCGGAGGAAAAUGCGUCGAUGUUGGUGGUGAUGAUGAUAAUAAUAAUGGAAUUUUUUUUAAUAGACUGAAAAAAUUAUCUAUUUAUGUGGAUUUUUAUUCCUCAGGUAUGAUGGGAAGUUAUCCACAGGAAGCGUCUGGGUUCGGACCUUCUCGAGGUUACAGCGGAGGCAUGGAUGGAAUCGCUGGCAGUCAGGGUGAGUCAACGACUUCCGUUCCACCUGCUUUCUGACCAAACGACGGAGGCUGUUCCAACCGGGCAGUCCUCGACGGACCGCGUCUCGUGCACACUUUGUUAUGAAGGAAACGGACGGUAACGGUUUCAUUUUCAUCGGUCACUAACCCCAUCACUUAUAAUAUUAUCUAUUUCUGUUAAACUCGGACCAAUCUCGGAUGUAUGAGGAUCAAAACGCGAGAUGCCCCAACAUGUGAUAAGCUUCAUAAACUAUCGGGAGAAAUGAUUGCUCCUCUUUUCAAAUCCUUUUUGGCCCGCACGGUAUUGUUUGAUUUGUCAUCGGGAAGGUCCGGUUUGAUCCUCGAUCUGAUUUUUCCCCUAUCGAAUCAGUUUUUCGCCGGACAGUGUUUAUUUAACCAGAAUAAUCAUUGUUUUCCUCUGAUUUUUUAAAAUCUCUCUGGGGUUUUGUUAUUUUCUGGGAAAUUUACGGGCUAGAUAACUUACUAUUCUUAAUAAUUACCCUUUGAUUUUUUCUCAAAACAAAUUUUGUUAAGGUUUUUAUUUAUUAAAUUUUAUUUAGUAUUUAUUUCGACCAACUCUUUCGAGUAAAUUAGGCGACACGAUAUUUAAUUAAGCCUUUCAUCAUAAAAUAACGAUGAAUAUAAUAACGUGUCAUCGACUUUGCUAAAAUUUAACACUUAUUCGAAUCGUUAACGUUGUUUCCUUACAUAAUAAAGCGUGGUUGUGUAAAUUCUAGCAUUAUCUUAGAAAGAAAAUAUUACUUGACCAAAUUAGUCGGAGUAAUGGUGAGUGGAAAAAAGUUUAUAAAUUGAUUGGAUGCAGAUCUACCAGAAAUGGGUAAUUUGUAUCGUUUAUGAAUUUUUAAUAAUAGCAUUUUGAUCAGCUGAUAAAGGCGAAUGGAUCAUAAUUCAAUCUUAUUUUUCAUUUAGCUGGUUUUGGAGGUGCCCAGACCGACGGACCUCACGGUGGCGGAAGGGGAGGAGGACAAGCCCAAGGUUAUCAUCCGUACCGACGAGUGUGAGAUCCAUCGGCGCCAUCAUCUUCAUCGCAGAGCAUCCAGAUUUAGUUUCUUACAUCAUUAUUCGGCCGGCCGUAAACUGACACUGGAAGAACUGUGGUCGGAUUUGUCUGCUUGUGUCCGGUUCCAGUGCAUUUUACCUAUAUCUGAAUGUUCCGUCCUCGGUUCCAUCGCUUGUUCUUUCAUUGAAAAUGGACCAAGAUCCAUUUUUAAAUAUAUAUUGUGUAUAUCGCCGAGUCUGCUCUCCAAACCGUUAUUGACAAGAAAUCUUUUCCACAGUUUUAAUGAAGACAUGUAAUAAUAUAAUUAUUAUAAUAAUACAUAAAAUUUUGAUUAUUUUGCACAAACAAAACUUGUAAAUCCUAGUGCAUUCCAAACUUUUUUCUUUGAUAUGGUGUCAGUAUAUAUAUAUAUUAAAUGUUGACAAAAAUCCAACGGUUGUGCUCUCGAUUGGAAACGGGCUGCCGUACCAUAGAGCCAGAGUGACACCGGGAGGCGGCCGGAAGAGGUGUGGGUGGGCCACGGCCGCGCGGCCAGACGUAGGCACUUGUCUUAUAUACAAAAGAGGAAGUGGCCAAUGGCUCGGGCCGGUGGACGGUCUGCUGAGAUUCGGGCUAUGAUCACGGUCUGCUGGUCGGAUGCUCCACUUGACGGUUGCACAGACGCGGCAGUUGAGACGUGGCCUUAAAAAGCUGCUCGAAUGAUUGACGCACCUGGAAAAUAAACCAAAAAUACUGAUUAACAAAAGUCAGGGAAAAAAAUUGCAAUAUAUAUAUACUGUAUAUAUUCCUACCCGACUGCUGUUGAGAUUACAUAAAAGAUGCGUUGCCGGGAAGAUAGUUUUAUAGAAUCGCUUUUGAUUUUCUAAAUAUAUGGAUGUGUAGUCAGUGAUGGAGUUAUAACCAUUUCGGUGGGCGAAUAAAAAGUACAGGUUGUGAUGCAUUAAACAAAAUUUGGUUUGAUGAAUGAGCUAGCAUAUAUGAUAAAACUUGAAUGAAAAUUGUUUGGUAGUUUAAAAUCUAUGAUCGAAUACAAGAAAUCAAUAAUUUUCCUAGACAGGAUGCAUUUAGAUAAAUUUAUAUUAAUGGUAUUUCUAAUUGACAAUGUAUAAGAGAGAAAUUUAUCUUACAAGUUAGUAGAGAUUUUUAAUUAAAGUAGCGGUUGAUUUCUGGUUAAGAUCUUUAAUAAUCAACAGAAAUCUAAUAAAUGAUUAUAUACUGUUUGUCUACCACAGGAAUGGCUCUCGCCAGGAAGUCUGUGCAUGUCUGUUGCCGUGGAAACAAGACUUGCUC